CGCAAAUCAAGAAAAGGUCACUGUAUUGUUUAGAUCAGAGGGAGCUCAGAGAAUACUCUUUACCGAGGAGUCACACCUACUCUUCCAUAUUGAUGGGCAUCCCUUUAGAAAGGAGG